GCGGGCGUGGCGAAACUGGUAGACGCAAGGGACUUAAAACCCCUCGGAGCAAUCCUUACGGGUUCGAUCCCCGUCGCCCGCCCCA
rnacentral:tRNA from 1 species